CGGGACUCUCACGAGGCCUCGUAAUCGGAAUGAGUACACUUUAAAUAUUUUAACGAGGAACAAUUGGAGGGCAAGUCUGGUGCCAGCAGCCGCGGUAAUUCCAGCUCCAAUAGCGUAUACUAAAUUUGUUGCGGUUAAAAAGCUCGUAGUUGCAUUUGUGCGCCGCGCUGUCGGUGCACCGCAUUCGCGGUGAUACUUACACGUCUGCGGAGCAUAUCGUCGGUGAGCCGCCGGUCAAACGGCGGUUCAAUAUCAAAAUCCUAUCGCGGUGCUCUUCAGUGAGUGUCGAGGUGGGCCGACAAUUUUACUUUGAACAAAUUAGAGUGCUCAAAGCGGGCUCAAAACGCUGCUUGAAUAUUUCGUGCAUGGAAUAAUAGAAUAUGAUCUCGGUUCUAUUUUGUUGGUUUUCAGAACUCCGAGGUAAUGAUUAAUAGGGAUAACUGGGGGCAUUCGUAUUGCGACGUUAGAGGUGAAAUUCUUGGAUCGUCGCAAGACGAACAUCAGCGAAAGCAUUUGCCAAAGGUGUUUUCAUCAAUCAAGAACGAAAGUUAGAGGUUCGAAGGCGAUUAGAUACCGCCCUAGUUCUAACCGUAAAUAUGUCAUCUAGCGAUCCGCCGACGUUAAUCAAAUGGCUCGGCGGGCAGCUUCCGGGAAACCAAAGAUUUUGGACUCCGGGGGGAGUAUGGUUGCAAAGCUGAAACUUAAAGGAA
rnacentral:rRNA from 1 species